rnacentral:rRNA from 1 species
AUCAAUAAGCGGAGGAAAAGCAACUAACCAGGAUUCCCCCAGUAACGGCGAGCGAAGCGGGAACAGCUCGAGCAGGCAAUCUCUGGUGUCGAUCGCCAGCGAAUUGUGGCCGGCAGAGGCGGAUGCACCUGACGCGACUCCGUCGAAGUUGACCUGGAAAGGCACGUCGGAGAGGGUGAUAGCCCCGUGCGUGGCGGAGUCGUCGACGGCCGCUACCGUCUUCGAAGAGUCGGGUUGUUUGGGAGUGCAGCCCAAAGUGGGUGGUAAACUCCAUCUAAAGCCAAAUAACGGCACGAGACCGAUAGCGAACAAGUACCAUGAGGGAAAGGUGAAAAGCACUUUGGAAAGAGAGUUAAAGAGGCCGCGAAA